CUUUUCGUCGUCAACCAAUACGUCGUCUGUUUCGGUCACCCCUUCGUCGGUCUCUUCCUCCGCGUCGCGAAAUAAGGGCUCCGAAAAUUCCGCCACCAAAUCCUCCAUUGAUCGAUCUUUCGCUCCCUGUCAACCAUCGAAGCUCCACACCCACCCCAUCUCAUUCGCUUUCUGUUUCCAUAUCUCCCCGCCGCGGCGCCGCCAUACAUCCAUGCCUCAGCCCUUCGCGCUGCUCCACAGUCCACACCCACCCCAUAGUCGGACCAGCCUCAGGCCUCCGGCUCCACGACCCGCUUGUAGGAGCAGCAGCGUCCCUAGGCCAGCGAGCGAGCGACAUCGAUGGCCACCGCGGGCACACACGCAUCGGAUGGCCCGGUAGCCAUAGAGUGCCGUCGUCGGAUCUCCUACCUCUCUGGCGAUGGAAAGGAUCCAGGCCAACACUUCUGAAUCCUGCUGACGCGAACGCGUGGGAAGGAGCUGCACAAAUCCUCCGGCGACGAUACCAAGUUCCUGCGAAUCCAAGCUCGCUCCCAACAGCAAGGCUGCGCUUAGUAUUGGAUCCACAGGACCUACAAAAUCUGAAUACUACCCUAUUUUGUUUAUUGGGGUUACACAACUUCCAACUCCAUGUGUAUUUGUGCGAUAUGCCAAUAUGAUGGUGAUAUGUGUACAUUACUGAAGCUGCAAAGGUAAUGUUUUACCGCUGAAUGAAAAUGUUGUGCCGACAAUAAAACAAACCUUCAUAUUGAGAAUGAAAGGGGAGGGGCCAUCGUCAGUGCUGGCCAUGCGGCGGCAGCAAGUACAAGGCAAGGUCGCUUGAAGAGAGUGGAGGAAGAGGACAAGGAUUCAGAGUAAUGCUGAGGACAUACAACUGCUUGUAUGUGAUAGUGGCACUGGAAUGGUCAAGGGUAUUCUGAAUUCAUUAUUGAAUGAAGAUUUAAUUGGAAGAAUGCGGACAUGAAGAAAGGAAUUAUUGGGAUUCAUUAUUCAUAUAUAUUAAUCAAGUAUGGGAACACAACCUUAGCCUUUGCCAUGCAAAUCCUGGUAAGAACAUUCUGCAGGAGCAGAGUUGAAAGAAUGUGCU